UGGUCUUGCAUGUAUUUCUGUACCGUUUUGAUUCUACAUAUGAGAAAGAUUGUUGAUACUUAUGAUUAUUUUACAUGUGCUGGGUACACACAUCCUAAAUAAAAAUUUGUGUUAUAUCAAUCCUUUUGGUCUGGUUUUGUACUUUUGUUGACUGUAUUACUGUAUGCUACAUAUAUUUUGUGGGUAUAAAAUUUCACGAUUUGACCAUAGAUUAAUGAGUAAAUGAAAGAUUGGAAACAGGAAAUGCAGGUUGGGUUACCACGUGACAACCAUCAGUGUUUUGAUUGAUUUACCAUCUCCAUUGGUGAAGUUGUGCUGGCAGGAUUUUGAAGGAAAUUUGUGUUACUUUGGGAUAGCGCUUGCUUUUAGUGUAUAGCCUAUUCCACAUUGAAUUUUUAGAGCUACCUGCAGCAAAGUUUUUAUCUCCAAAAAGCCAUUUUGCAACCAGUUAGAGGUACACUAAGUGGCCUGUUUUUGAAACACUUUAUUGUUUGUAAAACACUCAAGCUUCAUAGUAUCAACGUGCAACUCAAGAACAAAAUGAGUUUCGCAGAGGAGGAAAAGAUGGUAUAUCUGGUUAAAGAGUGACGUGGCUACUAACAAGUGCAUUGAUUUACUGAACAAAAAAA